CCUGGGAAUUCCCAUUCCCGCACAAAACGGGGAAGGGACCGGAGACGGCACUGCUCGUCUCCCAUUCCCUUCCAGUCUGACUGACCCAAUCGGACGCAGUGGGCUGCUUUUGUGUUAGCGGGGACCGUGCUCCCCGACCCCCCCAACUGUCUGACCCCCAAACGGGAAAAACCUCUCCGCAAUAGCAAGAAAUCCCCGGGGGGGUCAAACUUGGCCAGAUCUGAGAAUAUUGGAAUGCCAUGCGGGCCCGUUUGAUACUGUGGAACCGGACCGAGUCCGGAAGGACAGCUGUUGGUGCUGACAAUGACGGUGGUGUAUUAUUUAGCAAUUGCGAUGGACUUGAAUGUGGGCCCUCUUGGGGCAGAUGAAAGGUGUCUCUUUUGGCUGCAAAACGUUAAACAGACAGAAAUUCCCCCAGCCCCGAGAUCUUCCCCUGAACGAAGGGAAUCUAAUACGCUGCUUAGACCUUCAGAUCAGCCAACCCCCUACCCGCCCAGCACUCUCCUGUGGGUAUCUCAGAAACACGUCCCGGUGUCAAGAAAUCAUCGAAUAGAUCGGUUCAUAGGAAAAAUCGAAUAGCCGCUGCGAGGGGCGAGGCGUCUCCCGCGAAACACGCGUGGAAAGCAGGCGAGCGCUAGAAAGGGAC